GAUGAACGCUGGCGGCGUGCCUAAUACAUGCAAGUCGAGCGAACGGACGAGAAGCUUGCUUCUCUGAUGUUAGCGGCGGACGGGUGAGUAACACGUGGAUAACCUACCUAUAAGACUGGGAUAACUUCGGGAAACCGGCGCUAAUACCGGAUGAUAUUUUGAACCGCAUGGUUCAAAAGUGAGAGACGGUCCUGCUGUCACUUAUAGAUGGAUCCGCGCUGCAUUAGCUAGUUGGUAAGGUAACGGCUUACCAAGGCAACGAUGCAUAGCCGACCUGAGAGGGUGAUCGGCCACACUGGAACUGAGACACGGUCCAGACUCCUACGGGAGGCAGCAGUAGGGAAUCGUACGCAAUGGGCGAAAGCCUGACGGAGCAACGCCGCGUGAGUGAUGAAGGUCUUCGGAUCGUAAAACUCUGUUAUUAGGGAAGAACAGAUGUGUAAGUAACUGUGCACAUCUUGACGGUACCUAAUCAGAAAGCCACGGCUAACUACGUG
rnacentral:rRNA from 1 species